GGGGGGGGGCUCAAGCAGAAUCGGGAGGCUCUGGAAGCUGGGCCUUGAAGUGCAAUGCAGGCUAUAUUUCACCACCACAACUGCAUCCAGGUUUCUGACAGCAUCAACCAGCAUUUCAGCAUCUGUGGGGGGAUCCCAGCAUUUCAGCAGAGGCAGCAACAACAAAAUUGAUUUAGGCCCGAGGUAUCCAAUUUGUUCAGCAUGGAACAGCACACUGAAAUUACUUUCUUCUGCUCAGCAGAGCUAGCAGAUAGCAAGGCAAGUACCUCAAGAUCUGAGGAAAUAGUUAGAGCUUCAGUCAAGCUUGUAGUAGCAUUUUAAAGUACUGGGCAAAUAACAAAAACUCAUGUAUUUUUAAUUCAGCACAUGGAUUUCCACCCUCAGAGAUGAAUAUGCAACCAAAAAAAUUAUAUGUUCUUGUGUGGGCAUGAAUUAUAAUACCAGGUAGAAAUAGGUCAUUAAAAAUGAAGCACAAACAUGCCACGUUCGUUUUAAAAUGAUGAAUUGUUUCAUCAGUGGCUGCUGCACAGAUGUAACCAAAUUUGUCCAGCAAAAUCUUUGUUGCUGCUGAUUACGUGUGACCCAGAUAGAACUUGAUUUCUUAUUCUGCCAACAAACCGAGUUUGUGGUUAGGUGGCGGCGGGAGGAACGACUCUAUUUAAACUGAAGAAAUUGUAUGUGAAAUUAUUUCACCUGAAAUGCAAACAUAAAAUCCCACGAGUUAGUUUCUUCAAUUACUUUUCUGAUCAAAGCAGCACUGAAAGUCUAAUUUUCAUGUGAAAAUAUGCAAUAAAAGCAGGUUCUUUGCAGUG